rnacentral:lncRNA from 1 species
AAAAAGGAGAUCGAAAACCUAAUAAGGUGGGAAUAUCUUGGGAAGUAUGCGCAGGAGUGUCCUGCAUAUCUGCCUUCCGAUCUACCUCAUCUAAAACUCGAAGAGCAGACUCACGUCCAACCAAUGACAGGCGUGAUCAAUAUGAUCUCGAUGGGACUGCGACUCUGGGAGGCAGACAACUGUGGAAGCACUUCCAAGUGCUAGCAUGCUGACAAUGACAUCGUCUUUACU